UACGAAGGGGGCGAGCGUUGUUCGGAAUCACUGGGCGUAAAGGGCGCGUAGGCGGCCCUCCUAGUCGCGUGUGAAAGCCCCGGGCUCAACCUGGGAACUGCAUUGGAAACUAACGGGCUCGAGUGUGGCAGAGGGGGGUGGAAUUCCACGUGUAGCAGUGAAAUUCGUAGAUAUUCGCAAGAACACCAGUGGCGAAGGCGGCUCACUGGCCCGGUACUGACGCUGAGGUGCGAAAGCGUGGGGAGCAAACAGG
rnacentral:rRNA from 1 species